GCAGCUGCAGACGUAUCUUUAUCACGUCGAUAGGAUUGGUAAAGCAGCCUGCGCCUACUCCCGACACCGCGGCAAACAGGAAUUCGACACCGGACCUGCGCCAAUGGAGCAACGCAUGAUGCAAUGUUUGUUAUCGUAAGCUAUUUGGCCGUCCCCACUUUUCAAUACAGAACUUGCGAGGUCCAGUAGAGCCUCUAAGCGCAGCAAAGCCUUCAUAGGGUAUACUUGAGGAUGAGCGUCGUGGUAUCCACUUCUAUACUCAGUAUGUGCUCGCCAAUCGUUGAGAUCAAUCUCCGCAGCACCAGCUAUCACCAAUUCAAGUUCUCGUGCAUCGAACACUGAUACUAGUCGAG